UGGGGACUGACGUCAAGUCCUCAUGGCCCUUAUAGGUGGGGCUACACACGUCAUACAAUGGCUGGUACAAAGGGUUGCCAACCCGCGAGGGGGAGCUAAUCCCAUAAAGCCAGUCGUAGUCCGGAUCGUAGUCUGCAACUCGACUACGUGAAGUCGGAAUCGCUAGUAAUCGUGGAUCAGAAUGUCACGGUGAAUACCGUUCCCGGGUCUU
rnacentral:rRNA from 1 species